rnacentral:rRNA from 1 species
GACGAACGCUGGCGGCGUGCUUAACACAUGCAAGUCGAACGGUAAGGCUCCAGCUUGCUGGGGUACACGAGUGGCGAACGGGUGAGUAACACGUGGGUGACCUGCCCUGCACUUCGGGAUAAGCCUGGGAAACUGGGUCUAAUACCGGAUAGGACCGCACCGUGAGGGUGUGGUGGAAAGUUUUUUCGGUGUGGGAUGGGCCCGCGGCCUAUCAGCUUGUUGGUGGGGUAAUGGCCUACCAAGGCGGCGACGGGUAGCCGGCCUGAGAGGGUGGACGGCCACAUUGGGACUGAGACACGGCCCAGACUCCUACGGGAGGCAGCAGUGGGGAAUAUUGCACAAUGGGCGGAAGCCUGAUGCAGCGACGCCGCGUGGGGGAUGACGGCCUUCGGGUUGUAAACUCCUUUCACCAUCGACGAAGGGUUUCUGGCGGUAGAUGGAGAAGAAGCACCGGCUAACUACGUGCCAGCAGCCGCGGUAAUACGUAGGGUGCGAGCGUUGUCCGGAAUUACUGGGCGUAAAGAGCUCGUAGGUGGUUUGUCGCGUCGUCUGUGAAAUUCCGGGGCUUAACUCCGGGCGUGCAGGCGAUACGGGCAUAACUUGAGUACUGUAGGGGAGACUGGAAUUCCUGGUGUAGCGGUGAAAUGCGCAGAUAUCAGGAGGAACACCGGUGGCGAAGGCGGGUCUCUGGGCAGUAACUGACGCUGAGGAGCGAAAGCAUGGGGAGCGAACAGGAUUAGAUACCCUGGUAGUCCAUGCCGUAAACGGUGGGCGCUAGGUGUGGGUUUCCUUCCACGGGAUCCGUGCCGUAGCUAACGCAUUAAGCGCCCCGCCUGGGGAGUACGGCCGCAAGGCUAAAACUCAAAGGAAUUGACGGGGGCCCGCACAAGCGGCGGAGCAUGUGGAUUAAUUCGAUGCAACGCGAAGAACCUUACCUGGGCUUGACAUAUACAGGAUCGCGCCAGAGAUGGUGUUUCCCUUGUGGCUUGUAUACAGGUGGUGCAUGGUUGUCGUCAGCUCGUGUCGUGAGAUGUUGGGUUAAGUCCCGCAACGAGCGCAACCCUUGUCUUAUGUUGCCAGCACGUUGUGGUGGGGACUCGUAAGAAACUGCCGGGGUUAACUCGGAGGAAGGUGGGGAUGACGUCAAAUCAUCAUGCCCCUUAUGUCCAGGGCUUCACACAUGCUACAAUGGUCGGUACAGUGGGUUGCCAGUCCGUGAGGGCGAGCUAAUCCCGCAAAGCCGGUCUCAGUUCGGAUCGGGGUCUGCAACUCGACCCCGUGAAGUCGGAGUCGCUAGUAAUCGCAGAUCAGCAACGCUGCGGUGAAUACGUUCCCGGGCCU